GGAUGGGUGAGUAACACGUGGGUAACCUGCCCCUCACACUGGGAUACCACUUGGAAACAGGUGCUAAUACCGGAUAAGAGCAGCUGUCGCAUGACAGCAGUUUAAAAGGCGGCCUUUGGCCGUCACUGAAGGAUGGACCCGCGGUGCAUUAGCUAGUUGGCAGGGUAACGGCCUACCAAGGCAGUGAUGCAUAGCCGAGUUGAGAGACUGAUCGGCCACAUUGGGACUGAGACACGGCCCAAACUCCUACGGGAGGCAGCAGUAGGGAAUCUUCCACAAUGGACGCAAGUCUGAUGGAGCAACGCCGCGUGAGUGAAGAAGGUUUUCGGAUCGUAAAGCUCUGUUGUUGGUGAAGAAGGAUAGAGGUAGGAAAUGGCCUUUAUUUGACGGUAAUCAACCAGAAAGUCACGGCUAACUACGUGCCAGCAGCCGCGGUAAUACGUAGGUGGCAAGCGUUGUCCGGAUUUAUUGGGCGUAAAGCGAGUGCAGGCGGUUAAAUAAGUCUGAUGUGAAAGCCCUCGGCUCAACCGGGGAAUUGCAUCGGAAACUGUUCAACUUGAGUGCAGAAGAGGAGAGUGGAACUCCAUGUGUAGCGGUGGAAUGCGUAGAUAUAUGGAAGAACACCAGUGGCGAAGGCGGCUCUCUGGUCUGCAACUGACGCUGAGGCUCGAAAGCAUGGGUAGCGAACAGGAUUAGAUACCCUGGUAGUCCAUGCCGUAAACGAUGAGUGCUAAGUGUUGGGAGGUU
rnacentral:rRNA from 1 species